rnacentral:rRNA from 1 species
AUGAUGUGGCUUGAACACUUGCGCAUUAUAUGGCUUAAGGAAGGUGAACGCAAUACAACAUAUUCGCACCGCAUAGUGGUUUCGAGGGCACAUAGAAACCUUAUUCAACGGCUAAGCAAGGUGGAUGGUUCUUGGUGCCAUACACCGACAUAUAUGGAAGGGAUGGCUACAUCAUAUUUCAGAGGUGUACACAAGGAUCCGCCCCUAGUCCCAGAUGUGGUCUUGGAUUGUAUACAUCCCAAAGUCACUGCUGCGAUGAAUGAAUCUUUGAGCCAGUCUUAUUCGGAGAAGGAGAUUUCCAAUAUGUUGUUUCAGAUUGGCCCAUUGAAGGCGCCGGGUAAUGAUGGGUUCCCUGCCCAGUUCUACCAGCGGAACUGGGAUGUAUUAAAAGCAGAAAUAAUUGCGGCAAUCCAAGAAUUUUUCAUAACAGUAGUGAUGCCAGAUGGUGUUAAUGACACGGCCAUUGUGUUGAUUCAUAAGGUUCCCCACCCAAAGGAAUUGAAGGAUUUUCGACCAAUUAGCUUGUAUAACAUGGUAUACAAAAUUGUUUCAAAAUGCAUGGUGAACAGGUUACCAUUACUCACAGAGCUUAUUUCUUAA